rnacentral:rRNA from 1 species
UACGUAGGUGGCAAGCGUUAUCCGGAUUUACUGGGUGUAAAGGGCGUGUAGGCGGGGAAGCAAGUCAGAUGUGAAAACCACGGGCUCAACCUGUGGCCUGCAUUUGAAACUGUUUUUCUUGAGUGCUGGAGAGGCAAUCGGAAUUCCGUGUGUAGCGGUGAAAUGCGUAGAUACACGGAGGAACACCAGUGGCGAAGGCGGAUUGCUGGACAGUAACUGACGCUGAGGCGCGAAAGCGUGGGGAGCAAACAGG